rnacentral:lncRNA from 1 species
AUGUUGCCCAAGCUGGUCUCAAGCUUUUGGGCUCCAGGGAUCCUUCUGUCUUGGCCUCCCAAAAUCCUUGGAUUACAGAUGAGAGCCACAACCAUGCCUGGCCGUGAAAUAUACACUUCAAUAGAUUUAAGGCGGUACAUUUUAUGUUAUGUAUUUUUAAAACAUUUCUUUUAAAGAAAACCUGAAAAAAAAUACAGAAUUAUAAAUCUUUUUGAAAAUUACCUUCAAAUCACUAAAGUUUUCUUCUCACAAAAGGAAAUAUAUAUUCAUUAUUAAACACACAGUAAAAAUAAGACUAUAUCCAUGACAACUCACUUAGAUAAGAUAAAACUACCAUUGAAAAUCAGCUAAGAAAGAAUAUAGGAUAAGAUAUAACUAAAAUUGGGAUCAUAUUUAUAAAUAAACAUACAUACAUAUGUAAUCUGAUUGUGAUGAACAUGCAUAAUUUAUCUCUUAAACCUCAAAUUGACUUAAACUGUACAAACAGAAUUUCAAAUUGUCUAAAAUUGUAAUACGAAAGUAAAACCAACAGACACAAAAAACUGAUGUUAAGAAACCUACACUGAUGCCAGGUGCAGUGGCUCAUAUCUGUAAUCUUAGCUCCUUGGAAAGCUGAGGCACGAGAAUUGGUUUGAACUCAGGAGGUGGAGGUUGCAGUAAGCCAAGCCCACACCACUGCACUCCAGCCUGGGCUACAGAAUGUGACUCUGUCUCACAAAAACAAAAAGAUUGUCUAGGUAACUGGAAUAUUUAACUAUUACUGUGUACUCAUCAAAUGCGGGUAUUUUGAAUCAUUGGCAUGCACUGUGUGGCAGUAAAAUUUCAGAGAAUAUGCGGUAUAAUUAUAAAUAGAAGAUUCUAAUGAGAAACUUUUAAUAAAUAAGCAUUUAAAAGAAACUAGAGUUAUAUUUAUGUUUUAAAUAUAUGCUAUUCUUACACAAAAUGAAACUGCUGUAAUUCAACUUUAGAAGCAAAGAAUAGCCUUACAUUGUUAAAUACAGAAAAUAUAUGUAUUUACUUUGCAGAACAGGGUUAGACCUUCUGAUAUGUAAAACAAAUAUUAGGAAAUAAACUAUGUUAUUAUUCAGAUAUAGGCUGAAGAAAGUAGAGGAAAAUCCUAUAAUUCCUUUUUGCCAGCAGCAAAAUUAAAUUUAUAAGUAAAUACUUGAGUAAAUACAGAUUACCUACUAAUUAUCUAAUUUACUGCAGGCAUAAUAUGCAAAUUCUAGCAUAUUGUUUUAAAUAUCUGAAUCUAAAAUUACAGAAAAAUUUGCAGUAGAAAAUAGAAAGUAAAAAUGUAUAAGGAGAGUGACAUUAGUAAGAUAAAAAGACUACCUGGGCGCAGUGGCUCAGCCUGUAAUCCCAGCACUUUGGUAGGCUGAGGCAUGCAGGUCAAGAGAUUGAGACCAUCCUGGCCAACAUGGUGAAACCCUGUCUCUACUAAAAAUAAAAAAUUAGCCAGGCAUGGUGGCAGGCGCCUGUAAUCCUAGCUACUUGGGAGGCUGAGGCAGGAGAAUCGCUUGAACCAGGGAGAUGGAGGUUGCAGUGAGCCAAGACCGCACCAUUGCACUAUAGCCUGGGCAAAAGGAGCAAAACUCCAUCUCAAAAAAAAAAAGAAAAAGAAAACAAAUUGCAAAAAAAAAAAAAAGAAAAGAAAAGACUAAAGUGCCCUAUUUUCAUAUCCUCUUACAGGAAAAAAAAAAAAAAAUCAGCCAUACCUGACAAAAAUGCCUUUAUGAGAGAAUCAGGUAUUGAGGCUCACACCUGUAAUGACAGCUACAUGGUACAUUAAGGUUAUGAAACUGCUUCAGGACAGGAUUUCGAGACCAGCCUGGGUUAUGUAGCAAGAUGCCAUCUCCAAAAUAAGUGCCUGUAAGAGAGAUUUGAGAUCCAUGGAGGGAGUUGUGAAAUGCUGUUAAAGCUUAAGAUUGAGAAUUGUUCUAUUCAGAAGGUAGGCCCUCAUAUAGGUGGGAAACUAAAGGAACCCUGUUCUUGGCUACAGACAAGGCUAGGGUUUACCCAACUUGGUCCCACUGACAUUUCUGAACUUACUUUGUAACCAUCCCAAACUCCUCCCAGACACAGUCUGGGAGAGGUCCAGCCAUUCCAGAGACCUGGAGGAAGGCACCCAUUUACAGCCAUGUAGGCAGGCCUGCAGACCUUGGCCUUUACUGUGGUCCCUGAAGCAGUUCAAUGACUCAGUUUCAUUUAACUGAGCCAAGUAUGUGGUCCGUUCUGCCUAUAUAGAAACCCUCACAGGGUUACUUGAGGAAAUGCUCUCUGAUACUCACUGAAAGCCAUACUCAUCCACAUCCUGAUAUAAGGCUUACCAUAAGCAGUCCUGACUGCAAAAACAUGCCCUAGUGUCUGCCCUGUGGAGCAAAGUCCUGAAGGAUAUUCAGUCUAAAAAUAAAAUGGAAAUUACAACUACCCAAGCCCCUAUACCAAGCCAACUAAAGGUGGACCCUAGUGCAGACCCAGCAGCUUUGCGACCAAGCUACAACCCCUCUUCAGUACAAAUUCAGAGAAGAUCUCAUCACCCUAAGGGCCAACAAAAGAAGAUCUUUACCUUCUAAAAUCAGUUUGUGAAAACUUGAAGAGGUACUUGCUCCAUUGAAUUCAGACACCAAUACAAAACCAUAUUGUGCCCAUUGUCAAUGCUUCUUUUUUUUUUUUUUUUUUUUUUGUGAGAUGCCGUUUUGCUCUUGUUGCCCAGGCUGAAGUGCAUUGGUGUGAUCUUGGCUCACUGCAACCUCUGCCUCCCGUGUUCAAGCGAUUCUCCUGUCUCAGCCUCCUGAGUUGCUGGGAUUACAGACUCAUGUCACCACACUCGGCUAAUUUUUGUAUUUUUAGUAGAGACGGGGUUUCAUUGGUCAGACUGGUCUCAAACUCCUGACCUCAGGUGAUCCACACACUUUGGCCUCCCAAAGUGCUGGGAUUACAGGUGUGAGCCACGGAGUCUGGCCAAUGCUUCUAUUUUAAUGUAGCACUGGAAGUAUGUGGCAGAAGAAUUAGUCAUAGAAAUAAAAAAAAAAUCGGCCAGGCGCGGUGGCUCAAGUCUGUAAUCCCAGCACUUUGGGAGGCCGAGAUGGGUGGAUCACAAGGUCAGGAGAUCGAGACCAUCCUGGCUAACAGGUGAAACGCCAUCUCUACUAAAAAAUACAAAAAACUAGCCGGGUGAGGUGGCGGGCGCCUGUAGUCCCAGCUACUCGGGAGGCUGAGGCAGGAGAAUGGCCUAAAUCUGGGAGGCGGAGCUUGCAGUGAGCUGAGAUCCGGCCACUGCACUCCAGCUUGGGUGACAGAGUGAGACCCCGUCUCAAAAAAAAUAAAAAAUAAAAAUAAAAAUAAAUCUAUUGAAAUAAAAAAAAAUAAGUAAAAAGUUGCUGCUUGUAGAUCAUACAAUUGUAUAUAUAAAAAACUAUAAACAGUACAUAAAAAUCUGUCUAAACUAAUAAACACACUCAGUAAAUUAGCAAAAUACAAAAUUAACGUAGAAGUAUAUAUAUGGUUUUUAUACACUUUUUUUUUUUUUUGAAAGAGUCUUGCUCUUGUUGACCAGCCUGGAGUGCAAUGGUGCGAUCUUGGCUAACUGCAACCUCCACCUCCCAGGUUCAAGCGAUUCUCCUGCCUCAGCCUCCCGAGUAGCUGGGAUUAUAGGCAUGCACCACCACACCCAGCUAAUUUUUGUAUUUUCAGUAGGGACAGGAUUUCUCCAUGUUAGUUAGGUUGGUCUUGAACUCCCCACCUCAGUUGAUACACCUGCCUCAGUCUCCCUAAGUGCUGGAAUUACAGGCAUUGGCCACCGUGCCUGGCUAUGGUUUCAUACACUUAAAACAGACUAUCUGACAAACUAGAGGGAAAAAACAUUUUAUUUACUAUAGCGUUAAGUAAUAAAUUUCUGAGAAAAAAAUUGACCAUGGAGGUGAAAAUCUUUACAAUAAAAAAUGAAAAAAUUAGAGAAGAUCCAAAUAAAUUUUAAAAUAUUUUAUGUCUAUGGAUUGAAAGAAUAAAUAUUAAUAAAGUGCCAUAUUAUCCAAAGUGAUCUAUAGAUUCAAUAAACUUCCUAUCAAAAUUGCACAGGCAUUUUUUUCACAGUACUGGAAAAUGCAAUUCUAAAAUUUACAUGAAACUAAAAUAAACUUUGAAUAGCCAAAGCAACCUUGAGGAAAAAGAACAAAGCAGAAAAAUAUCAUACUUAUAAUUUCAAACUAUAUUUCAAGACUUUAUAGUAAUAAAAACAGAUAGACUGUGCAGAAAAAUGAACAAAAAAAUGCAACAGAAACUAUUACUCUCACACAUAUCAGACUUGAUGCAAAAAGAGAACAUGAAAAAC